UACAGCUACUCUCAAACAUAAGAAGGCGAUGACUAUUUGCAUACCCUUUUGUUGUUUUUGUGUAGGUCGUCUGCGUCUCUUACUAUCUCCUAUAUUUCAACACUUGUCUAGACUUUCCACAAGAUUUGGGUCCAUUUUUAUUAGACUGGGGGUUGUGAGAACAAGGUCUCUAUCCUCGUAUCUAGUUAAUCGGUCUAUUUUGAAUAAAUUUGCCGAUUCAAAGAAAGGAAAAAUCCGGAAGGCGAAAAAGCGCGAAGUGCACUUUAAAUGCACUUUCUCAGUGAAAU
ensembl:snoRNA C41C4.16 ncRNA